rnacentral:rRNA from 1 species
GACGAACCGUGCAAACGUUAUUCGGAAUCACUGGGCUUAAAGGGUGCGUAGGAGGGCAGGUAAGUCAGUGGUGAAAUCUCCGAGCUUAACUUGGAAACUGCCGUUGAUACUAUCUGUCUUGAAUAUUGUGGAGGUGAGCGGAAUAUGUCAUGUAGCGGUGAAAUGCUUAGAUAUGACAUAGAACACCAAUUGCGAAGGCAGCUCGCUACACAUAUAUUGACUCUGAGGCACGAAAGCGUGGGGAUCAAACAGG